rnacentral:tRNA from 1 species
GCCUGACUGGCUUACUCGGUAGAGCAUGUGAUUCUCGAUCUAGUGGUUGUGAGUUUGAGCCCCACGUUGGGUG